GAAAUGCGAUAAGUAAUGUGAAUUGCAGAAUUCAGUGAAUCAUCGAAUCUUUGAACGCACCUUGCGCUCCUUGGUAUUCCUAGGAGCAUGCCUGUUUGAGUAUCAUGAAAUCUUCAAAGUAAAUCUUUUGUUAACUCAAUUGGUUUCUACUUUGGUAUUGGAGGUCUUUGCAGCUUCACACCUGCUCCUCUUUGUUCAUUAGCUGGAUCUCAGUGUUAUGCUUGGUUCCACUCGGCGUGAUAAGUUAUCUAUCGCUGAGGACACUGUAAAAGGUGGCCAAGGUAAAUGCAGAUGAACCGCUUCUAAUAGUCCAUUGACUUGGACAAUACUUUUAUGAUCUGAUCUCAAAUCAGGUAGGACUACCCGCUGAACUUAAGC
rnacentral:misc_RNA from 1 species